ACAUAUAUUCAACAAACUUUUCUCUGCUAUGUACAGAAAAUUAAAGAUUACAUCAAGACCUUCAACAUUGUCAUGAAGAUUCAUCCUAAAAUCGCGGCAUAAUUCCAGGGCAUCUCAAGAUCUUCAGCAUUUAUAUCUGCAUUCUUCUUGUAGAGAAGAUGUAUAGACGAUAGGUUACUGCAGCAGCUUCAAGCCUUGAAACUAUCAUUUGCAAAAGGUCCAGCACGAGUGAGUUUUACAAUUCCAGCAAAGGAAGUCGCAUCAAAAGGAACUUUCAACCAGAUUAUUGAACUCCUUUUUUAACUGAAAAAAUGCCAGAAGCUCCCUCAAGAGAAGCUCCCCAAAGCCCUGCUCUAAGCAGCACUAACACAUUAACAAGAAAAAUUGGUGCCAUUGUAGAAAAACUUCGUGAAAGCAAAUGCUGUCACUGCCACUCAGUUGACAAGAGAAAGGUAAGUAAGAUAGGAAAUCAUACCAAAGUUAGACAGUUAGCCAACAUCGAGCUAUAUACUUAGUGCACAUCUACCACAUAAAUCAACCAUAUUAUUGUUUUCUCAACUCCAAGUGAAAGACACUAGUAAACAACACCAAUAUGUUAUCAUACAUGAAGAAUGUGAGAUCAAGCUGAUGGAGGCAGAGAAAAUGCUUUUUGACAUUAGUAGCCAUAAAAAUUCACACUAAACUACCUGACAACAAUUAGUACUGCACAUUUUCACAACCUCUACUGAAAGAUUUAACAAUAGCUUCUCCUCAUCACAUGUCGAUAAACCUGGCCUACAUAGUGAAGCUAAAACCAGGCCUGCAUUGCACAGCAACUCAAUAGACCAUCACCAGUCUCUUACUGAAAGAACAAGAGUAAUAUAUGCAAAACAUCUUUCAAGGUUUAACAGAUGGUUCAAAUAACUAAGAUACAUAUAAAAGAAUGGCAUUGUAGCAAGCGGAAGGUAUGCAGAAAAAUAAGCCUCAUAAGAUCUACCCAAAUUGUAGCAUUACACCUACAGCAUAUUAGACGAUUCAUGAGCAUUCAUCGCACAGAUUUUCCUGAAAAGCAAAGUCUGCAGAAAUUGACACGAAAAUCAUACUUGUAGACCUAUAUAUUAGCAAUAAUUAUUUUUUCUUCUGUCUUCAAUGGUGUCCAAUGAUAAGGGUGAGGCAGUUAAUUAACAUCCAGCCCAGUGAAGAUUCAAGCCUGCAAAAUCAUUUCUUGAAUACAAAUUUACUUCAGAAAUCUUGAAACCAUAGUCAAAACAUCCAAUCGCAGUGAAAAAAAAAACACGAGUACACACAGAGAGACCCACAAAAAUGAGAAAAUAGUGCAAAAAAUACAAAAAGGAGUCAGAAAUCUCGUGUGGAAAGUGCCGCUCACUGCACCACAAGCAAUAUGGUGCUGCGUUUGCACAUUUCAGAGAUUAUCAUCAUCCAUUUCCUUGCAUAUCUUAAUUUUUCAACAACCAGAAAAAAAAGGAAUUUGUCCCAAAAAAGUAUUGCCCAUUUUUUCCCAUAUACUGAGGGAAACCAAAGAUUAAUUGCUAAAUCAGAGCAGGUUAUAGGAGAAAUCAAGAGGAUCUGCAAGAGGGUUUUGCAGGAUACCCUUUGAGAAGAAAAGGGUUCUCUCCAUCCGGGUCGUGGGAGGGGUUUAAUAGGAGAAGGCCUUCAUCAGAGUUGCGGCGUGGCGUGGCGUGGCGGCUAUAGAGGCAAUGCCAUCAGAGGAAAACGUAUUAAACCCUUCUUUUUAAUUUAGGUAAAUUGCAGUUACCCCCUCUAAAGUUUGACUAAUUGGAGAUACUUCCUGUAUUUGUUUAUGUGGUGUUUUAUCAUCUUUUGAGCUUUGUUUGAGCCUUCUUCUGAUUGAUUCAUCCUGUACAUCCUUCCAUUACAAAAGAAAU
rnacentral:lncRNA from 1 species